rnacentral:rRNA from 1 species
GACGUAGGGCGCGAGCGUUGUCCGGAUUUAUUGGGCGUAAAGAGCUCGUAGGCGGCUUGUCGCGUCGACUGUGAAAACCCGAGGCUCAACUUCGGGCUUGCAGUCGAUACGGGCAGGCUAGAGUUCGGUAGGGGAGACUGGAAUUCCUGGUGUAGCGGUGAAAUGCGCAGAUAUCAGGAGGAACACCGAUGGCGAAGGCAGGUCUCUGGGCAUUAACUGACGUGGAGGAGCGAAAGCGUGGGGAGCGAACAGG